rnacentral:rRNA from 1 species
AUACGGAGGAUCCGAGCGUUAUCCGGAUUUAUUGGGUUUAAAGGGUGCGCAGGCGGCCAUUUAAGUCAGCGGUUAAAUCGUGGGGCUCAAUCCCAUUCUGCCGUUGAUACUGGGUGGCUUGAUUGCGGUCGAGGUUGGCGGAAUUCGUUGUGUAGCGGUGAAAUGCAUAGAUAUGACGAAGAACACCGAUUGCGUAGGCAGCUGACCAGACCGCAAAUGACGCUCAUGCACGAAAGUGCGGGGAUCGAACAGGAUUAGAUACCCUGGUAGUCCGCACAGUAAACGAUGAAUACUUGUUUUCGGCGAUAUAAUGUCGGAGGCAAAGCGAAAGCGAUAAGUAUUCCACCUGGGGAGUACGCCGGCAACGGUGAAACUCAAAGGAAUUGACGGGG